UUUGAUAAAGGAGAGCAAUCAGCAAUAGCAGCUUUGUUUGGUUCAUGGAGGUCUGCACACAUCCUGAUUCCACCAGUUUUCUGUCCUGUCACCAUGAUCAGUGAUACCCAUGGUCAGGCAUAAAUUUGUUCGAUGACACCAGCUUUGAGUAAACGAUCCAGUUCUGCUGAAACUGAAGCCCCCACAGCAAAUGGGAGGCGUCACAGCUUCUGAUGAACUCUUCACUGUGGGGUCAAUUUUCACUUUACACAGUAAGUAUCUGGAGCAGCAGGGAUGCAAGAAGCAGUGUAUUGUUUUUUACAACAUCAUAGAAGCAAUAAUAGCAGUACUUGGGGGUAGAUCAGUGCUGCCUUCAAUGCUGAUGUUCAGCGCUUCCAUCAGUAAUUCUAAUUUCUUUAUCCAGUGCAGGAAGUGCAGAUGCUGCUGAGCCUGUUUAACCAGUGCUGAUGUGUUGACCAGUCCAAACCAUCAUUUUUCUGUAAUUCCUGAAACUUGAUAUUGCUGACUACCUGCACAGUGUUGUCAGUGCUGGAAAACAAGCUCCAGGAUGAGAAGAAAAGGAACGCGGAACAAGAAGCAAAACUCAAAACUCAGAUGAUCAAAUCUGAGAUAGAGAAGACUGAAUUCAUUCAGAAGCUGAUGCAGACACUUCUUGCAGUGGACUCAAAGCUCAGCAUCUCUCAGCACACAGAGGUAAACAUGGACAUAUGUGAUGCUGUCAUCCUCCCAAUGAUCACAGACCUGUGCACUUAUAUUCCUGCAGUUUUGUCCAGCA